AAGAACCUUACCUACUCUUGACAUCCAGAGAACUUACCAGAGAUGGAUUGGUGCCUUCUGGGGAACUCUGAGACAGGUGCUGCAUGGCUGUCGUCAGCUCGUGUUAAAGUGAAAUGUUGGGUUAAGUCCCGCAACGAGCGCAACCCUUAUCCUUUGUUGCCAGCGGUCCGGCCGGGAACUCAAAGGAGACUGCCAGUGAUAAACUGGAGGAAGGUGGGGAUGACGUCAAGUCAUCAGAGGAUGGCCCUUACGAGUAGGGCUACGACACGUGCUACAAUGGCGCAUACAAAGAGAAGCGACCUCGCGAGAGCAAGCGGACCUCAUAAAGUGCGUCGUAGUCCGGAUUGGAGUCUGCAACUCGACUCCAUGAAGUCGGAAUCGCUAGUAAUCGUAGAUCAGAAUGCUACGGUGAAUACGUUCGCCGGGCCUUGUACACACCGCCCGUCACACCAUGGGAGUGGGUUGCAAAAGAAGUAG
rnacentral:rRNA from 1 species